rnacentral:rRNA from 1 species
AAUUAAUUAUUGUUAAUAUAGUUUAUUUGUACUGUUAAGGUUUGAUUUUUAUUAUUAAUUAAGUAGAUAUUUUAUUGUACCUUUUGUAUCAGGGUUGAUUUAAUUAAUUUUAAUUAUUUAAUUUUCUCGAAUUGAUUUGAUCUAAUUAUAUAUGUUUAUUAUAGUUUCAUAUAUAAAUAUUAUUUUUAGUUAGUUGUGAUAUGCUAUUCGUAAAUUAAGAUAUCUAGUUUUCUAAUAAAUGAAUUUAAUUCAGUUAUUAUUUUUAAUUUAAAUAUUUUUAUUUUAGUUAUUUUAUAAUAAUAAGGUUUUGGGGGAUUAGCUCUUUUACUUAUUUAAAAUUAUUUAAUUUAAAUAUUAUGUAGACUUUAAAUUGGUUAUCAUUAAUUAGUGUUUUAUAACUUAUUAUUUUUAUUAUUUGAUUUUUUUUAAUUUAAUUAUUUAUUGGAAUUAUUUAAUUAAUUAUUUAUUAAUUUAAAUAAUGAUUAAAUUAGUAUAUUUAUUUAUAUAUUGUUUUAUAUUUGUAAAUUUUUUAUAAGGAACUAGGCAAAUUUAUUUGUUCGCCUGUUUAUCAAAAACAUCUUUUCUUGUAUUUUAUUUGAGAUUUGACCUGCCCUAUGAUUAAUUAAAUGGCCGCGGUAUUUUGACCGUGUGCAAAGGUAGCAUAAUCAUUAGUCUAUUAAUUGUGGACUUGUAUGAAUGGUUGGACGAAACAUUAACUGUCUCAUUUUUAUUAUUAAAACUUAAAUUUUGAGUUAAAAUGCUCAUAUUUUUUUAUAGGACGAGAAGACCCUAUAGAUCUUUAUUAUUGAUUUUUUUAUUUUAUUUAGUUUAUUUAUAUAUAAUAUUUUUAAUUGUUUUGUUGGGGUGACAUAGGGAUAUAAUUAACUCUUUAUUUUAUUUUACAAUUAUUUUUGUUUAUUUGACCUUUUAUUAUUGUUAAUUAGAUAUAGAUACCUUAGGGAUAACAGCGUAAUUCUAUUUGAGAGUUCUUAUCGACGAUAGAGAUUGCGACCUCGAUGUUGGAUUAAGAUUAUAAUUAGGUGUAGGUGCUUAAUUGUUAGGUCUGUUCGACCUUUAAAUUCUUACAUGAUCUGAGUUCAAACCGGUGUAAGCCAGGUUGGUUUCUAUCCUUAAUUAUUCUUUUUAUAUUAGUACGAAAGGACCAUAUAAAUUAAAUAAUUUAUAUAUUUGAUUGUAUUUACUAAUUUGGCAGAAUUUAA